rnacentral:rRNA from 1 species
GGAAUCUUCCACAAUGGACGAAAGUCUGAUGGAGCAACGCCGCGUGAGUGAAGAAGGUUUUCGGAUCGUAAAACUCUGUUGUUGGAGAAGAACACGUUUGAGAGUAACUGUUCAGACGUUGACGGUAUCCAACAAGAAAGCCACGGCUAACUACGUGCCAGCAGCCGCGGUAAUACGUAGGUGGCAAGCGUUAUCCGGAUUUAUUGGGCGUAAAGCGAGCGCAGGCGGUUUGAUAAGUCUGAUGUGAAAGCCUUUGGCUUAACCAAAGAAGUGCAUCGGAAACUGUCAGACUUGAGUGCAGAAGAGGACAGUGGAACUCCAUGUGUAGCGGUGGAAUGCGUAGAUAUAUGGAAGAACACCAGUGGCGAAGGCGGCUUGCCGGACUGUGUCUGACGCUGAGGCUCGAAAGCAGGGGUAGCGAACG